AGAGACAAAAAAAAAAAUGCGUAUCUUAUAUAACGUACGUACCUAUAUGUAAUUGUUCUUGUUGUCUACAGUGUAAUAUCGGCCUGCAAUUGCUUUUUUGGACAAACUUGAGAUAGCGACUAUGAAAACAUUAGAUGAAGUAAAAAUUACAUCAAUAUAUACAAGACACUUUGUACGGAAGAGAUAGUAGAUGAACAUGAUGUGACAACACACGACAAAAGAAGAAAAAUACACGUUGGCUGCAAUCGAGCGGUAAAUUCUUCGGGGAAAAAUUAUUCAGCAAUCUCCUGACUGAUAAUAAACAUCUGUCGUGUGAGGACGAUGCCGCGCAUAAUAUCCGUAUAUUGUACAACGAAAAUUCAUCUUGCUCACGAUUGUUGACGGAUAACGUCUGAAUUCUCGAGAUAACAGAGGUGUACAUACAGUGACGAAGAUAUAAAAACCCCGACGAGAGCUCCGCAUGUUACCUCGACGCAUGCUCCGUGCCGAGGUCUGGCUGGGGUGAUAUCCAGUCGGGUGAGAGAGCUUCGUAUGGACACUGAAGCGCACUGAACAAUCGUCAUUGAUGACAGUAUGACCGAUCAAAUGUCCAUACCGCUCAAUUCCGCAGCCAAUAUGGACGAGGAUGGUGAUCUGAUGACGAAGACGCUAGAGCAGCGAAAAGAGGCUUUCAAAGAGAAUGAGGAACUUAUGAGAGAAACGACGAAAUUCGUCAGCGAAGUGAUAGACACCGCCGCGAAAGAAGCGUCAAAAAGAAAAAUUCAAUCUGAGGGAGCUGCUGCGGGCGAAGGCAGUAGAUUGAAGGGUACCGAUACUAUCGCUGGCUGGAACAACCGAGCUCGCGGAAUCUGCACUCGUAUCCUGAAUGCGCUUUGCCCGUGCUUCGCCAACCAUGGUAAAUCGUAGAGCGAUGAUACCGCACGUAGAUGACUGCCGCCACGCUACUGUCUCAAAAUCUCCUUUUAUCAAUAAAACAAACAAAAUCAAACCAAAGUAGUCUUGCAUAUAGCGCGCUCAUGGUCACAUAUCCGCUUCACCAUCGACCAGAUAUUGCAGACAUCCUCCCAUAUCAUCAUCUGCAGGCAGACCGUGAACGAGUCGACCGUAGAUUGGUCACCGAUCAGUCUGAAACUGUUCGCCUGGACUCCGUACCGGUAUCGCUUCACAAGACCUUAACCCGUUCGAUGACUUCCGUUCCGGAUUUUCCGUUCCGUCGUGCGGCAUUACCCGCAGUUCUUUAGGUUCCUUCCUCCGACUUCGCGUCGCGCGUUUCUCACACGGGCCAACUGACAACAUUCAUCUAUAACGAGUAAAGCGAUUUUCUAAUCUUGGUUGAUAGGAUAUAUAAUCGUCAGACACAUCAAUUUUGUGUGUGUGUGUAUGUAUGUGUACAUGUGCGUGUGUGUGAGUGAGAGAGAGCUUGAAGACUAUCUAACAAUCCAUCAAUCAAUCGACGUCGCUAAUCUUCCGGAGACAGAUUGGAAAAAUUAGAUUAAUUUGCUGUGACACGGUCAAAAAACGUAAAACAAGAGACAUCAGCGUUCGAUGAAAAUAUUAAUUGGACGCGGCUUGCGUGCUUAUUAAAAUUUCGAUUCAAGAACCGUGAACACUUCGCAAAAUAUCAGUUCGCUCUAUAUCCUUCAAGUGUCGUGUUCUGAUUUUCACAUGUCUCUCUCAAACGAGCACGUUGGCGGUGCAAUGCCGUGUGAUUGUGCUAGUUUAUUCUCUCUUAUAUAUCUUUCGCAAUAUUACACUUGACCAAAGACUAAUAACAUGUUUUGGAUUACAACAAUUGGCAAAACCACAGUAAAACGCGAUUUUGUGAUUGAAAUUCUAUCUGUAGCACUAAUUAAAGACAAAUAAAUGGUGUUACGUCUAGUUUUAUAUCAUAUCUCUAUAUAAAUGUUAAAUAUUAGAGACUUUUAUGAAUAACAAAAUGUAUUGCAAAUUGACUGUGAGAUAAAUAAUUUUUGUGCGUGUAUGUUUGUGUGUAUACAAGCGACAUGUUUUAUGAAAAUUUUGA